GACUGGUCCAAUCUCAUGGAUCAUGUCCGAGGUGGUGGUGGACCUGCCAUGCCGCUGGAAGGCUUGUCUGUUGCACUGUCUGGUGAGUGAAGAGGCUCCCAUCGCUGCUACCACCGACGGGUUCACACUGCAGUAAGCAACAUGUCCUAUCGGGUUUAUGGAGCACCCACCCAGUGAUCAGUCCUGUCUGAGAGGCUGUGUGGGCCCAAUGUGCCAAUACACCAGCAGCUCCAGACAGAAGAUCACCUUGUCCUCCGCAUCGCCUCCCACUGCCUUCUGUACUGCACAUAACCACUGCAAUAAAAAAAAAACAAGGUGACACAUCACUGACAAAACACUCAUCCAACGGUAGGCUCAACACACACCUGUGCUACCAUCCGCAAUGAGAUCCUUUUCUCCUUUAAGUAGAACGGUAAUGUUGCCCAUGGUUUCGCUUAGCUGCAGGACGCUACUACGGUGAUCAACGCUGUCCACGGCCUUGUGUUGCUGAGAUGACAACACGCAGAUGGGAUUAAAACACUUGUGGCGCCGACUUGAAUUUGUCACUUGGCAAGAAACCCACCAGCGUAUCGUACAGUCGCGUGAACUCCAUGAAGUUGGGCGUGAUGAUGCCCUUCUGGUAGCCAUGAAUAACAGACGGCUGCUUUGUGACCAGCCAUAAACCGUCCUGGAGAAGGCAAACAAAAGAAAAAGUCACUAUGACUUUUGUAAACGCAAGAUAAAGUUGACCUAGACAAAUACUCACUGCAUCGAUGAUGAUUGGAAUAUCUCUUGCUUUGGAUUUCUCUAUCACCUCCUACAAGGAAGAACUACAUUAUUUGAGGAAACAUACUGUUGAUACACUUGGUGCACUAAAUAGUUGUCCUCUUAUACAAAACAUAAUUUAAAUGCAUCUCGUUAAUAUAUAAGCAGGUUUAAAAUUUGACACAGUAGCAUAGAAUGUAAACUUUCUGAAGGAGCAUUAUAAUCAAACGGUUUGUAGUAUAAUUUUAGGAGGCAAACAAAUUUAGCACAUUUGGUAGUUUAUAUAGCACAACAAAAAUCCUCCUCUUCCUUUUGUCAAUAAGUUGAAAGGUUAAUACAAUUAAUUUACCAGCUCAUCAAUGACUUCCCUAUUAAUUUAAAUGAGGAUGAACUUCCCAUUAUUGAAAAAGGUCACAAUCGGUAACCACUUCAUUUCUAAAAUUAUGAGCACACCUCUAGUGUAGCAUAUUUACAUUUUUAGAAUGGUCUGUAUUUAAGAUUUACAGCAUUUUUUUUAAAAAAUGUGUGUUUUUCAAGUCAAAUCCUUUUUUUCUGCAGUCACAUUAGCAGAUAUGUGAUGCAUAUCAAAUUUUUUAUCCACAAUAGAAGAGAAUCGGAUCUGAUGAUAUCCAAUUCCAUGCAGAGUUUUUUUUGCCUAUGAUGCCAUGCCAUGAUGCAUAUUCGUAUUGUGUCACUUGAGAGAGAGAGGAAAAAAAUCAUAAUUGCAUUACUUAAAGCAUGGUGAGUAUAUUCAACCUAUGUAACAGAAUCCCCAGCAAGUAAAAAUGUUAAUGUUAACAUCCUCAAGGAGCUCUUAGUUCAGUGUUUGCGUUAAAUGCAUGCGACUAUACAAUACGUGCCUUGGCUGUUUUUAAUAAAAAGUCCUCUCUGCCCAGACCAGGUCCCACCACAAGGCUGUGCAGUCUCGGGAGCCAUUUUUCGAUCUCCUCCACCGCGUUUGGGCUGUCCCUUUUCAAGGACAUCGCCUGUCCAAGGAAUUUAAUAUUAGCCUUCAUACUUCCACACAUACCCUAUCUGGAUUGAUAUUUGUUGAAUGCUUUCUUCAUGAAAGUGAUAUGACGAAUUUUCUGUCAACAAACUGCGGUUAUUUCUUAACACCUCCCAAAGUAGAUUGGCACCUGUGAACAAUGGAAUGCCAUCAGUAAGGCAAUUUAAUCUUAUUUUUGACAAACUAGGGAGAAUUAACAUUAAUUUAUGUCCAUGAGUAAUCUGAACCACUUAACCCAAUUAGAGU